CUGAAAAUGGUCGCUGUCCUGAUAUUUCAAUGAUCAGGCUAGUCACUUGCUAUAUUAAAAUUCUGCAGUGUGUCCCCAGGACUUGCUUGUUUCUCUAGUUCUGUGUUUUUAAUGGUUAGUGAUAUGU
rnacentral:snoRNA from 1 species